UUAGGGACUGCGGAUGACAUUAUCGAGUUUUAUUUGAACGGGUUGUAGCUGGUCUUUUAAUCGAGGCAUGUGCACGCUCGGCUCAAUUCCACUCUCAACCACUGUGCACUUUUUGUAAGAUCGGUUAGAAGGACUUUGUUACUUUCAUUAGUAACUCGGUUUGGAAGCCUUUCUUAUGUUUACUACAAACGCUUCAGUUAUAGAAUGUUAUAAAUCGUGUCAUAACACAUUUAAUAUACAACUUUCAGCAACGGAUCUCUUGGCUCUCGCAUCGAUGAAGAACGCAGCGAAAUGCGAUAAGUAAUGUGAAUUGCAGAAUUCAGUGAAUCAUCGAAUCUUUGAACGCACCUUGCGCUCCUUGGUAUUCCGAGGAGCAUGCCUGUUUGAGUGUCAUGGAAUUCUCAACCCUUGGAAUUUAUUUUCUAAUGGGCUUGGACUUGGAGGCUUGUGUCGGCUCUUUGCCAGUCGACUCCUCUUAAAUGCAUUAGCGUGAAUUCUUACGGAUCGCCUUCAGUGUGAUAAUUAUCUGCGCUGUGGUGUUGAAGUAUUUUUAUAUUCAUGCUUAUAAUCGUCUCCUCACCGAGACAAUUAUUAUUAUGACAUCUGACCUCAAAUCAGGUAGGACUACCCGCUGAACUUAAGCAUACUA
rnacentral:rRNA from 1 species